CGACGCAACGUGGAGCACGCGCCGACGUAAAGGACGCUCUCAUCCGCCGCCUCGCUUCUCCCUGAAACACCACGUCGUGAGUCAGACCCGAGAAAGUGCGCAGCGCAGGAACAACGCAAUUCAAUUUUGAAAUAAAAAAUUCUAGGCGAUUCAAAGAAAGUUAUAAGAUAUCUGGAUUCUUUUUCCCAUGGCUUCUUUUGCUUUAUAAUGCUGAUAUCGAUUGAUAAACGUUUGUUAUAUGCUAACAAGAUAAUGCACCCGUGCAGAACGGAAGGAUGGCGAGUAAUGGCGAGAUUUCACGAUAUCUCAGUAAACGUCGCAUUUACAGUUCGACGUAAUGCGGAAAUAAAUCACGCAAAAAGAUAAAAACCUGUGCAUAAAAAGAUCUAAAUCGCCACCAUUCGUUCGUCAAAUUUAAGAGACCUGACCUGUUUCAUGUUCUUUCUCGCACAAUGCUUGCUGAUCCAUCGACUAGCAAAUGACUCAAUCGUUAUACUAAUGAGGCAAUGCAACUCCGUAACUGAUUGGAAAUGACGGCGAUAUCUCGUGAUAUCUCUCAGAGCAUAUUAAACGUGCACAUUCUAGAGACGCGGAGUAGGAGAAAAGCGUGAGAACUGCAGACGGCGCUGUCACGGUACAGUGAGUGGCAAACCCGCGAGAAUCGCGCCGAAGGAGAGAAUUACUCGUUUCGAUGAAUUAUUUACGAUAUCCCACGUUAUUACGCGGUUGGGAAAUAUUUACUCGUCUCUCCAUACCGUUCCGCGUGACUCACGACUUCAUUGAGCUUCGAAACAUCAGAGAGAGUAAACACCGUUAUUUAGCCGAGGCAACUUUCGACAGAGUAGCCUGUGGAAUGUCAAAGAUAAAAGUUAUAAUGCUCUGGCGAUGCAGCAAUAUGGAUGAUGGAAGCUUCGGCAGAUUACCUUAUCGAUUGGUAAAACGGUACCACGUGCGUGACUUAUAAUGCAUCUGCCAUAAAAAGCGUCCACUAAGUUCAAAAGACUUUUUAAUGUUAUAAUUAUGUUAUCACAACACCAACUUGUACAGCAUGGAGAAAUAUUUCUCUAGACCUCUGUUUCUCGAAAUGCACUUGUCUAUAAUUAUCGAUAUAGUAUAGUGUGUCAUCUAUCACAAGAGGCACUAUGUUUGACUAAUUAUUUCAGAGUAAGAUGUCUGGCAAAAGAAAAUAUAAUAUUAAAAGGAACGAAUCAUAUUUAAUGAAGAUCAAUCGAAUUGACGUCAAAAAAUGUCUCUAAUCGAGGACGUUGACGCUGAGGAACGAGGAUAAUCAAAAAUGAAAGACCGAGUCGUGCGAUUGUUAUAAAAGUAUUAUUCAUAACAAUUAAUCAAAGGUGCGGCAAGAGAGGACAACGUGAUGUCGUCGCAUUACAACAAUCAUGGAUUGGAAAUCGAAAUCGGAUCAAGGGGAUUCGCGCAUCAUGCGUAACGCCGCGUAUUACGGCCUCACAAUGGACAUAUUCACGAAACAAACACAGUUAAAAAAUUAAACGCUAGACUAGACUGAGCGAGCACGCUCUAUUUCCAAACGGGACACGCUCGUAUUGCACGCACGCAAAAUUAACGACUCCUCAAGGAUACAUGUGCAUGUAUAUUACAGAAAGCAAUAUUGUUAUUAGGACGAUCACAGAGGUCAAUUGCAAAAAUAAUGUCAAAGACUGGAGAAUCGAUUUCUUUUGUCAAGAUAAAAUCGUCCAACUGAUCAAAGGAUUCUCCAUUGCGGGUCAUCAUUUACGGUAGUAGGUCGCCCUGUCUAAGCGGCUUUUAGUUCUCCGGAAGCGCUCGGGAGAAAUUCUUGGUAAUUGACUCACCUUAUGCCGAUCGUGGUGCAGCACAACACAACAGUGGGAACGACAGGAGAGCGGUGUGUAAAGAGCCGCAAUAACUCUAACACCUGUGUCCAUGCACGACAGCGGCCGACGACACGACGAACGGCAAGGCGACACGACGACGUGACGCUGUUCGAGAACGGGGAAAUAACGAAGGAGAGAAGCGGGACCAACGCGCGGCGGACAGGUAACCGAGGAACACGCUCGAUCGGGAUAACGGUGCGAUCGGCGGCGAACUGAACGUAAGCACACGGACGCGGAGUCGCGACGCGAAAGCGAAGGAAACGCGAUCGGACUCCGAUUGGAGCCACGGUGGGCACGCAUGCGCGGUUCCGCGAAAUGUUGUGCACCAGCAGCUGAAUGUGUAGGUACGGAUGGACGAGGUGAGUACACGGAGGCGCGUACAGGUGUGCGUCACGGUCGUACCUGCAGGUACGAGAAAGCACCAGUGUCGCUCAACCGUGUCGCCGCGUCGCCGGCCGAUCACUCGGUGGGAGUCAAUGCGAGCGUGCGCAUUUGAUACAGAAGCGACCCGUGUUGCUGACCUACCUGGAGGAACCAUGACCUGUACAGAUUUAGGCACAGACCUCCUUGUAAACGAGCUCCUGCAUCUGCAUCCUGAGCAGCAUCCUACGAUCGGCCGGCAGUGUCCUGAUAUGCGGCAGCAGGCU